GGAUUGCGUGAGGAUUAUUUUCCUAUAUUCAAGAUUUGGAGUAGUUGGGCAUGGCAUGGAUGCCUUAAUUAGUUGGAAAUUGGGAAACAGGAGCUCAGGGUGUCUGGCAUAAGGAUGGCACCGUUUAUUUAAGGAUUUAAUCUUCAUUUAUUCAUUUGUCAAAGGAUGGAAGAUGUCAAAAGGAGGGCUUGUGCAUGUGAAGGAAUCCAGCACAAAGCAUGCGCCAACUCACUCUUUCCA
rnacentral:lncRNA from 1 species